rnacentral:rRNA from 1 species
AACGAACGCUGGCGGCAGGCUUAACACAUGCAAGUCGAGCGCCCCGCAAGGGGAGCGGCAGACGGGUGAGUAACGCGUGGGAAUCUACCCAUCUCUACGGAAUAACGCAUGGAAACGUGUGCUAAUACCGUAUACGUCCUUCGGGAGAAAGAUUUAUCGGAGAUGGAUGGGCCCGCGUUGGAUUAGCUAGUUGGUGGGGUAAAGGCCUACCAAGGCGACGAUCCAUAGCUGGUCUGAGAGGAUGAUCAGACACACUGGGACUGAGACACGGCCCAGACUCCUACGGGAGGCAGCAGUGGGGAAUAUUGGACAAUGGGCGCAAGCCUGAUCCAGCCAUGCCGCGUGAGUGAUGAAGGCCCUAGGGUUGUAAAGCUCUUUCACCGGUGAAGAUAAUGACGGUAACCGGAGAAGAAGCCCCGGCUAACUUCGUGCCAGCCGCCGCCGUAAUAC